UACCAGCACCCCGAGUGGUCGGGACGAUUAUUGGGCCUAAAGCAUCCGUAGCCGGUUCUACAAGUCUUCCGUUAAAUCCACCUGCUUAACAGAUGGGCUGCGGAGGAUACUAUGGAGCUAGGAGGCGGGAGAGGCAAGCGGUACUUAGUGGGUAGGGGUAAAAUCCGUUGAUCCAUUGGAGACCACCAGUGGCGAAGGCGGCUUGCCAGAACGCACUCGACGGUGAGGGAUGAAAGCUGGGGGAGCAAACCGG
rnacentral:rRNA from 1 species